CGGGGCGUGGCGCAGCCUGGUAGCGCACACGCAUGGGGCGCGUGUGGUCGCUGGUUCAAAUCCAGUCGCCCCGACCA
rnacentral:tRNA from 1 species